rnacentral:rRNA from 1 species
ACGGAAGGCAGCAGUGAGGAAUAUUGGUCAAUGGGCGGAAGCCUGAACCAGCCAAGUCGCGUGAAGGAAGAAGGUAUUAUGUAUUGUAAACUUCUUUAGCAGCAGAGAAAUAAGGUGGACGUGUCCACUGAUGCUAGUAUGCUGAGAAUAAGCAUCGGCUAACUCCGUGCCAGCAGCCGCGGUAAUACGGAGGAUGCGAGCGUUAUCCGGAUUUAUUGGGUUUAAAGGGUGCGCAGGCGGUCUUUUAAGUCAGUGGUAAAAUCGUGGUGCUCAACGCCAGCCCGCCAUUGAUACUGGGAGACUUGAGUGCGGUUGAGGUAGGCGGAAUUCGUCGUGUAGCGGUGAAAUGCAUAGAUAUGACGAAGAACACCGAUUGCGUAGGCAGCUUACCAAGCCGUAAAUGACGCUCAUGCACGAAAGUGCGGGGAUCGAACAGGAUUAGAUACCCUGGUA